GAUGAACGCUGGCGGCGUGCCUAACACAUGCAAGUCGAACGAAGCACCUCUCCCGAAGCUUGACACAGCUUGCUGUAGAUUGAUUCAUUUGAGGUGACUGAGUGGCGGACGGGUGAGUAACGCGGGGGUAACCUGCUUCAUAGAGGGGGACAACAGUUGGAAACGACUGUUAUUACCGCAUAUUAAGAAGAAUUCGCAUGUUUUCUUCUUGAAAGUUGUAUCGCUAUGAGAUGGAUCCGCGUCUGAUUAGCUGGUUGGUAAGGUAACGGCUUACCAAGGCGACGAUGAGUAGCCGGGAUGGGAGAGUGGCCCGGCACAUUGGGAGUGGGACACGGCGCAAACUCCUACGGAAGGAAGCAAUGGGGAAUAUUGCACAAUGGGGGAAACCCUGAUGCAGCGACGCCGCGUAAGUGAGGAAGUAUUUCAGUAUGUAAAGCUCUAUCAGCAGGGAAGAUAAUGACGGUACCUGACCAAGAAGCCCCGGCUAACUACGUG
rnacentral:rRNA from 1 species